AAAACAUAUAAAUAUAUAUAUAUAUUUUUUCAAAGAUUACUAGCUUUUCAUUGAUUGAGGUUGUGAUUGCUUCAAAUGUUUGCAAUCUCACUCGCCAUACUCACUUGGGUUUAUCAUGCAUACAUUACCGAUCUACCUUUGAUGGUGCUAUCUUCUCGCUCACUCACGGACAAUUAGAGCUGAAUUAGCUUAGAAUAACAAUGUUGCCGAAUAAAUCGAUUACAGUUACCGUAUGCACAUUACAUCAAGUGCGGCAACAAAGGAGACGGAAAGUUUAAACUUAGUGAAUUGAUGUCGAUGAUGUCAGUCAAUAUAGUUACACAUUUCAGCGUAUUAACAAGAAUUUAUCAAUCCGCUUGCAUUUUCAACAGCUUGCAAUAUCGCUAGCCUAACUGACUAUGAAUCACUUUAACAAAGGCGUAUUGAAAGGUUAUUUCACAAAGAAAAGAAAAGAGAAGUAAAGUUGGGGUUUAAUUUACUAAGGCGAUACGCUUUAUACUA
rnacentral:lncRNA from 1 species